UACAGAGGGGGCAAGCGUUGUUCGGAAUUACUGGGCGUAAAGGGCGCGUAGGCGGCCUGUUAAGUCGAACGUGAAAUCCCCGGGCUCAACCCGGGAACUGCGUCCGAUACUGGCAGGCUUGAAUCCGGGAGAGGGAUGCGGAAUUCCAGGUGUAGCGGUGAAAUGCGUAGAGAUCCGGAGGAACACCGACGGCGUAGGCAGCGCCCUGGACGACACCUGACGCUGAGGCACGAAAGCUGGGGGAGCGAACAGG
rnacentral:rRNA from 1 species